UCGCUUCUGCAGCAAAUAUACUAAAAUUGGAACGAUACAGAUAGAUUAGCAUGGCUCCUGCGCAAGGAUGACACACGAAUUCAUGAAGCAUUCCAUAUUUUU